rnacentral:rRNA from 1 species
GACGAACGCUGGCGGCGUGCCUAACACAUGCAAGUCGAACGGAAACGCCCUGCUUGUGUGCGGUGCCCGAGUGGCGAACGGGUGAGUAACACGUGUGUAACCUGCCCUUGACUUUGGGAUAACUUCAGGAAACUGGGGUUAAUCUCGGACAGGAUCUCCCGCUGCAUGGUGGGCGUUGGAAAGUUUCGGCGGUUGGGGAUGGACUGGCGGCUUACCAGCUUGUUGGUGGGGUAGUGGCUUACCAAGGCCUUGACGGGUAGCCGGCCUGAGAGGGUGAGCGGCCACAUUGGGACUGAGAUGCGGCACAGGCUCCUACGGGAGGCAACAGUGGGGAAUAUUGCACAAUGGACGGAGGCCUGGUGCAGCAACGCCGCGUGCUGGAAGGCGGCCUUCGGGUUGUAGACCACUUUCGCCUGUAACGAAGCGUGAGUGACGGUAAUGGGUAAAGAAGCACCGGCUAACUACGUG